UCUUCGGAGAGUUUGAUCCUGGCUCAGGACGAACGCUGGCGGCGUGCCUAAUACAUGCAAGUCGAGCGAACUUCUUAAAAGCUUGCUUUUAAGAAGUUAGCGGCGGACGGGUGAGUAACACGUGGGCAACCUACCUGUAAGACUGGGAUAACUUCGGGAAACCGGAGCUAAUACCGGGUAAUACUUAACCUCACAUGAGGUUAAGUUGAAAGAUGGUUUCGGCUAUCACUUACAGAUGGGCCCGCGGCGCAUUAGCUAGUUGGUGAGGUAACGGCUCACCAAGGCAACGAUGCGUAGCCGACCUGAGAGGGUGAUCGGCCACACUGGGACUGAGACACGGCCCAGACUCCUACGGGAGGCAGCAGUAGGGAAUCUUCCGCA
rnacentral:rRNA from 1 species